rnacentral:rRNA from 1 species
UACGUAGGGUGCGAGCGUUGUCCGGAAUUACUGGGCGUAAAGAGCUUGUAGGUGGUUUGUCGCGUUGUCCGUGAAAACUCACAACUCAAUUGUGGGCGUGCGGGCGAUACGGGCAGACUGGAGUACUGCAGGGGAGACUGGAAUUCCUGGUGUAGCGGUGGAAUGCGCAGAUAUCAGGAAGAACACCCGUGGCUAAGGCGGCUCUCUAGUACGGUACUGACGCUGAGACGCGAAAGCGUGGGGAGCGAACAGG